rnacentral:rRNA from 1 species
CAGUCGCCGCGGUAAGACAGAGGUCCCGAGCGUUGUUCGGAUUCAUUGGGCGUAAAGGGUGUGUAGGAGGCCAGGUAAGUCAGGUGUGAAAUCUCGGAGCUUAACUCUGAAACUGCGCUUGAUACUGCUUGGCUAGAGGAUCGGAGGGGGUAACGGAAUUUAUGGUGUAGCAGUGAAAUGCGUAGAGAUGUGGAGGAAUACCGAUGGCGAAGGCAGCCCCCUGGGCCAAUACUGACGCUCAUGCACGAAAGCGUAGGGAGCAAACAGGAUUAGAUACCCCUGUAGUCCCUGUCUCUUAUAC